rnacentral:rRNA from 1 species
GACGAACGCUGGCGGCGUGCUUAACAUAUGCAAGUCGAACGGAAAGGCCCUGCUUGCAGGGUACUCGAGUGGCGAACGGGUGAGUAACACGUGGGUGAUCUGCCCUGCACUUCGGGAUAAGCCUGGGAAACUGGGUCUAAUACCGGAUAGGAGCCAUUUUUAGUGUGAUGGUUGGAAAGUUUUUUCGGUGUAGGAUGAGCUCGCGGCCUAUCAGCUUGUUGGUGGGGUAAUGGCCUACCAAGGCGGCGACGGGUAGCCGGCCUGAGAGGGUGGACGGCCACAUUGGGACUGAGAUACGGCCCAGACGCCUACGGGAGGCAGCAGUGGGGAAUAUUGCACAAUGGGCGCAAGCCUGAUGCAGCGACGCCGCGUGGGGGAUGACGGCCUUCGGGUUGUAAACUCCUUUCGCUAGGGACGAAGCUUUUUGUGACGGUACCUAGAUAAGAAGCACCGGCUAACUACGUG